ensembl:lncRNA
UUUUUUUUUGUUUUUGUUUUUGUUUGUUUGUUUGUUAGGGCCAAACCUGUGGCACUUGGAAGUUCCCAGGCUAGGGGUCAAAUUGGAGCUGCAGCUGCCAGCCUAUGCCCCUGCCACAGCAAUGCAGGAUCCAAAACACAUCUGCAGCUUUUGGCAAUCUAGAUGGAUCCUUAACCCACUGAAUGAGGCUGGGGAUCAACCUGCAUUUUCACAGAGAGUACAUUGGAUUCUUUUUUUUUUUGUCUUUUUGCUAUUUCUUGGGCCGCUCCCGUGGCAUAUGGAGGUUCCCAGAAAAGGCAAAAAGACAAAACAAACAAACAAACUUGGUCAUAAAAAGUAAUAAACUACUGGGAGUUCCCGUUGUGGCACAGCGGAAACAAAUCUGACUAGUAACCAUGAGGUUUUGGGUUCGAUCCCUGGUCUUGCUCAGCGGGUUAAGGAUCUGGUGUUGCUGUGAGCUGUGGUGUAGUUCAAAGACGUGGCUCAGAUUUGACCCCUAGCCUGGGAACGUCCAUGUGCCGUGGGUGUGGCCUUAAAAAGAAGAAAAAAAAUGAGUACUUGUAAAAAGUGGUGAAAUCUGAGAAAGUUCUGUAGUUUUGUUGUACCAACGUCAACUCCCAGGUUCUAACUGUUCUCUGGUUGUGUAAGGUGUUACCAGUGGGGAAGCUAGGCGGAAGGGACCCAGACAUUUUCCUUACUUUUUAAGCAACAUCGGUGCAUCUAAAUACUUUGAAAAUAAAAAGGUUUUUAAAAUGUCCUCAGGAGUUCUGCUGUGGUGCCGUGGGUUAAGGAUCCACUGUUGCAGCAGCCGCAUAGGUUACAACUGUGGCUCAGAUCUGUUCCUGGCCUGGGAACUCCAGAUGCCAGGAGGCGGCAAAAAAAAAAAAAAAUCCAUGUGGCAUGUCAGAUGCCCAAGGCUGGCACUGAAAAAAAGGAGCCGGAAGCCCACGCAGGGUUAAGGCAAUUCACGCACUCACAGGCUUUUCUGUACCCCCCUGCCUGGUCUCUAGCCUUAGGUCUCGUGGGAAGAGAUCGGAAACACCGCUGGUCUAGGGGUUCAGUCCCAGUUUCACUGUCAGGCUCUGGCCCGAAACAGGGCUGGACCAGACCGCCUGUGCACCAGCGUGGGGCCUGGGUCGGGCAGCUGGAUGGAAACGGGGCUCUCCACUCCCUAGCAGUGCAGCCGGCAGGAAGCUGCUUCACCUCUCAGACAUCAAUCCAAACUCUGUGUUUGACUUGUCGUUUCCACUUGUAGAGGGAGGCUACUCAUCACACCACUUCUCUGGGUGGUUGUGGGGAGCAUGCAAGCGGAUUUGAUGGGCACCUCUUUAGGAACAGGUUUAGGGGCCUUGCUGCCAAGGCUGCUGGUCCCCAGCUUCCUCUCUGGGGAACAAGAGGGAAACCACACGCUCACAACAGGGUGGCCUGAUGGAGACACAUGGUCAGAGAAGGCCAGCCAGGGAGGGAACAUGGCCACAGAGAGACCACGAAACCCCAAGAGACUUAGAGACAGAGAGAAAGGAAAGACUCAGAUGAGAGAGGCCCAGAGACUGGGAGCAUGAGGGACACAGAAGAGGAGGGGCAACCCUCGGGAGUGAAUACCCACACUGGCAGCAGCCAGGGUCAAAGCCCGAGCUGGGAGCAAAGCAGAGAUGGGUUCUGGAUGUCCAGCCUGGGAAGAGCAACUGUGUGUAGAAGAAGCCUCCAUCUGGAGCCUGGGAGCCUGGGCUCC